rnacentral:rRNA from 1 species
AGAGUUUGAUCAUGGCUCAGGAUGAACGCUGGCGGCGUGCUUAACACAUGCAAGUCGAACGGAGGACCCUUGACGGAGUUUUCGGACAACAGAUAGGAAUCCUUAGUGGCGGACGGGUGAGUAACGCGUGAGGAACCUGCCUUGGAGAGGGGAAUAACACAGAGAAAUUUGUGCUAAUACCGCAUGACGCAGUUGGGUCGCAUGGCUCUGACUGCCAAAGAUUUAUCGCUCUGAGAUGGCCUCGCGUCUGAUUAGCUAGUUGGCGGGGUAACGGCCCACCAAGGCGACGAUCAGUAGCCGGACUGAGAGGUUGGCCGGCCACAUUGGGACUGAGACACGGCCCAGACUCCUACGGGAGGCAGCAGUGGGGAAUAUUGGGCAAUGGGCGCGAGCCUGACCCACCCAACGCCGCGUGAAGGAAGAAGGCUUUCGGGUUGUAAACUUCUUUUAUGUGGGACGAAACAAAUGACGGUACCACAUGAAUAAGCUCCGGCUAACUACGUGCCAGCAGCCGCGGUAAUACGUAGGGAGCAAGCGUUAUCCGGAUUUACUGGGUGUAAAGGGCGUGUAGGCGGGAAAGCAAGUCAGAUGUGAAAACUAUGGGCUCAACCCAUAGCCUGCAUUUGAAACUGUUUUUCUUGAGUACUGGAGAGGCAGGCGGAAUUCCGUGUGUAGCGGUGAAAUGCGUAGAUAUACGGAGKAACACCAGUGGCGAAGGCGGCCUGCUGGACAGCUACUGACGCUAAGGCGCGAAAGCGUGGGGGAGCAAACAGGAUUAGAUACCCUGGUAGUCCACGCUGUAAACGAUCGAUACUAGGUGUGGGGGGGACUGACCCCCCUCCGUGCCGCAGCAAACGCAAUAAGUAUCGCACCUGGGGAGUACGAUCGCAAGGUUGAAACUCAAAGGAAUUGACGGGGGCCCGCACAAGCGGUGGAGUAUGUGGUUUAAUUCGAAGCAACGCGAAAAACCUUACCAGGGCUUGAGAUCCAGAGGAAUGAUGGGUAAUGCCAUCAGCUCUUCGGAGCCUCUGAGACAGGUGGUGCAUGGUUGUCGUCAGCUCGUGUCGUGAGAUGUUGGGUUAAGUCCCGCAACGAGCGCAACCCUUGCCGAUAGUAACCGGCGAGUAGAGUCGGCGACUCUAUCGGGACUGCCGGGGACAACCCGGAGGAAGGUGGGGAUGACGUCAAAUCAUCAUGCCCCUUAUGUCCUGGGCGACACACGUGCUACAAUGGCGUAACAGAGGGACGCGAAGGAGCGAUCCGGAGCAAAUCCCAAAAACAACGUCCCAGUUCGGACUGCAGGCUGCAACCCGCCUGCACGAAGCUGGAAUCGCUAGUAAUCGCAAAUCAGCAUGUUGCGGUGAAUACGUUCCCGGGUCUUGUACACACCGCCCGUCACACCAUGGGAGUCGGGAAUGCCCGAAGUCGGUGACCUAACCGCAAGGAAGGAGCCGCCGAAGGCAGGCCGGAUGACUGGGGUGAAGUCGUAACAAGGUAACCGUA